UUCGACCAUAUCACGUUGAAACCCCGGUACCCGUACGAUCACCGAAGUUAAGCAACGUCGAGACUGGUUAUCACUUAGAUGGGUAAACGCUUGGGAAAACCAGGUGCUGUAAG